CCUCACUGGUACCAGACCCUUGUCUCCCCAUUCAUAGCCCAGCAGGAGGAGAGCUGUGCUGUGGGUUUUUGAAAACUUUGCAUAAUCGCUUCUGCCAUAGUUUAGCAGGUAAAUAUCUGAGUGGAAUGGCUGGAUCAUAUGGGGUGAGACAAAAUGUGCCAUGAGUGAUGGCCUUUGGUGACCUACAGGCAUCCCCGGCUCUAGCAAUCAUUUGUGUAGGAAGGAUACCCGAUUGCAAGAUCAUCAGAAGGAAAAUAAAAGCACCCCUCUUUAGGUAUGUAGAUGAAAAGGAGCUUUAUCAUUCCAAAUCACCCUCUCUUUCCACUUCCAGAAUCUUAUGAGAACAGUGAAGACUUUGGUACAUUAAAUGCAAGUUCAUAAAAUAAUUAUGACCAUGUCUUAAAUUCAUGCAUGUUAUUACAAGUUGAUGAAUCAUUGCUGGUUCCUGCAGAAUUUUUGUAACUGGAAAAAAAAUGUUAAUAUAUUGAUGGUUAGAGUUGCCAGAUUGACAAAUCCAGAGAACAAAGAACUUUUCUUUUAGGAUUAGGUAGGAGUCAUAGCCUGUUUAAAGCCGAAGGAAACUUUAAAACAAUCAGUUUAUAGAUGAGAAAGCUGGUGCAAAGAUGCAGGUAGUAACAGUAAUAAUAAUCAUAAACGUUUAUUGUGUUUUACAUACUAGAUUUGUACUCAGCGAUUUGCAUGCAUUAUUUCAUUUAAUUCUCAAAACAACCUUGGAAAUAGGUGCUAUUACUAAUGCUGUGUUAGAGAUAGGGAAACUGAAGUUUAGAGAGAUUAAACCACUUCCUCAAGGCUAAACAGCUUGUUGAUUCUUCUGAGCUGCCUUGAUGAGAAGUACCAUUCAUUCGUUCAAAUAAUUAAUUCACAUUUAUUGAGCACAUAUUACAUGUCACACAUUGUGCUUUACACUGGGAACACAAAGGUAAACCAACAAGAUAUGAUCCCAUCUUUGCAGUGUGUGCAGAGCAGUGGGGGAGACAGACAUAUAUCAACUGUCAUAUCAACACAUAAUUACAAAGCAGAACGAGUAGGUUUUGUUUGUUUGUUUGUUUGU